rnacentral:rRNA from 1 species
AACAUCGCCUUUUGCAACAUAUAAAAGGUCCAGCCUGCCCAGUGACUUGUUCAACGGCCGCGGUAUCCUAACCGUGCGAAGGUAGCGUAAUCACUUGUUUUCUAAAUCAAGACUAGUAUGAAAGGCAUCACGAAGAUCCAACUGUCUCCUUUUUUUUAUCAGUAAAACUAAUCUCCCCGUGAAGAAGCGGGGAUUUUUUUAUAAGACGAGAAGACCCUAUGGAGCUUUAAACUUUAAGCCACUUGAUUUGACUCAAUUAACCUCUUUAAACAUUUUGGCCCACUGUUUUAGGUUGGGGUGACCCAGGAGAAAAAAUUAUCCUCCUGGCUGACACGGAUUUAUCCCAAGCAACAAGCUACACCUUUAAGCAUCAAAAAAUUGACAUUCAUUGACCCAGUUUUCUGACCAACGAACCAAGUUACCCUAGGGAUAACAGCGCAAUCUACUUCAAGAGUCCCUAUCGACAAGUGGGUUUACGACCUCGAUGUUGGAUCAGGGUGUCCCAGUGGGGCAGCCCCUACUAAUGGUUCGUUUGUUCAACGAUUAAAACCCUACGUGAU